rnacentral:rRNA from 1 species
GAUGAACGCUAGCUACAGGCUUAACACAUGCAAGUCGCGGGGCAGCAUGGGGGUUGCUUGCAAUCCCCGAUGGCGACCGGCGCACGGGUGAGUAACGCGUAUCCAACCUGCCCUUCACCACGGGAUAACCCGGCGAAAGUCGGACUAAUACCGUAUGUUGUCCAUUGACGGCAUCCGAUUUGGACGAAAGGUUUGGCGGUGAAGGAGGGGGAUGCGUCCGAUUAGCUGGACGGCGGGGUGACGGCCCACCGUGGCGACGAUCGGUAGGGGUUCUGAGAGGAAGGUCCCCCACACUGGAACUGAGACACGGUCCAGACUCCUACGGGAGGCAGCAGUGAGGAAUAGUGGUCAAUGGGCGUAAGCCUGAACCAGCCAAGUAGCGUGCAGGAUGACGGCCCUAUGGGUUGUAAACUGCUUUUAUGCGGGGAUAAAGUGGCCCACGUGUGGGUUUUUGCAGGUACCGCAUGAAUAAGGACCGGCUAAUUCCGUG